GACAGAGGGUGCGAGCGUUGUUCGGAAUUACUGGGCGUAAAGCGCGUGUAGGCGGCUCGGAAAGUCUGAUGUGAAAGCCCUGGGCUUAACCUAGGAAGUGCAUUCGAAACUCCCGAGCUUGAGUUCUGGAGAGGAAGGCGGAAUUCUCGGUGUAGAGGUGAAAUUCGUAGAUAUCGAGAGGAACACCGGUGGCGAAGGCGGCCUUCUGGACAGUGACUGACGCUGAGACGCGAAAGCGUGGGGAGCAAACAGG
rnacentral:rRNA from 1 species